UUAGAGAGGGGAGAAAAUAAGGACAGACACUCCCCCCCUCUUCUUUCCUUACAGACUGGCUCUGAUGGGCUUCUUGCACUUUGCCAGAGCCGCCGAAGGUUAUUGUUCAGCUUCCCCUUUCUAUUCCAUUGACAACAAUGAAGAGAUCCUAAGACACUGCCAAGCUGAGCCCCGUUGAUGUCAAUGGCCUCAAGUGCUUAAGGCAGAGCCUGCUGACUUGGGUCAAGGCUCCUGAUUGCCUCGCUGCCGAACCGCCUCGGCGCUGACCUCGUCUCUCUCCGGAACUGCCCGAAUCAGGAGCCCAAAUCCCGAAGACCCGCGCCAGUCUUUGGCGCUCCCCCUCUGCUUUUGUGAAUGCCUGAAAAGCCAGGGAAGAAGGGAGCGGAGGGGCGGGAGUCCACACUGGCUUCCCUUGUCUGGCCCGGAAAGCUGGCAGCGACUCCUUAGAGGCAGGAGCGUCCCGCGUCUCUCUUCCCCCCCCCCCUUCCCAUUUCGUUGCUUUCCCAAAGGAAGCCCCUCCGCGGCCCAGCUCCAGGUGUAGUGGAGUCCUGGCUCCGGGUUUUGCAGGCAGCCGCCGCCGUGUCAGAUGGAGAGCUCUGAAUAACAAAGACAAGUUUGAGAGCAGCAGCAGCCGAACUGGCUGAGUGACGUCAGGGAACAAUGCCUGUGCCAACAGCUUUCCCUCUUCGCCACACGGACGGAUGGACGCACACGCACACACACACACGCACGGGCAGGGCUCCUCCUCCUCCUCGGUCGCACAAACAGGACUCUGCUCUCUGAGAUUCCGCGCUUUAAAGGGACAGCGGCCCUUUCUGCCCCAAGCGGGCCCACCUCCCUCUUCUUUCGCCUUCUCUCUGUCUGGCGCUGCUCUCGCUUUAAGGCGGAAGGGCGGGGGGAAAAGAUCUUUUCAACCCUCUCCUCCGGGAUAAUAUGUAACCCAACUUUUGUAUUGUUGUCUCUAUUUUUUUCCAGAGGGAAAAUUCCUACAGGACCUUUGAAUGGGGAGCCUGAGUUACAAACCUCUGGAAGACUUGUCGAAAAGCACCCCAGCCCUGCAAAUUCUCCAGCUAUAUUUAUUUAGAUUGGCGCCGACGAUCUUUAGCGAAUUAAGUAAUUAAUUGCUUAAGCGUUAAAAGCCCGAAGCCUAAUAAUUGGUAGCUUGCUUCCAAUCUAACCACUGAAGUCCACUCCCACUCUUUACUUCUGGGCCCCCCUUCUGCACUGCCAUAUAAAAUCCGGAUGAUCUGCGUUGAACUGGAUUAUAUGGCUGUGUAGACUCAGGUAAUCCAGUUCAACGCAGAUAAUGUGGAUGAUCUGCUUUGACAAUUUGGCAGUGUAGAAGGGGCCCUUCACUGUCAUAUGAAAUCCAGAUGAUCUGCUUUGAACUGGAUUAUAUGGUAGUGUAGACUCAGAUAAUCCAGUUCAACACAGAUAAUGUGGAUUAUCUGCUUUGACAGUGUGGGCUAUAUGACAGUGUAGAAAGGCCCUGUCAUAUAAAAUCCAGAUGAUCUGCUUUGAACUGGAUUAUAUGGCAGUGUAGACUCAGAUAAUACAGUUCAACGCAGAUAAUGUGGAUGAUCUGCUUUGACAAUCUGGGUUAUAUGGCAGUGUAGAAAAGGUCCUGCCAUAUAACAUCCAGAUGAUCUGCUUUGAACUGGAUUUACUUCUGGGCCCCCCUUCUGCACUGGCAGUGUAGACUCAGAUAAUCCAGUUCAAUGUACAUAAUGUGGAUUAUCUGCUUUGGAAAUCUGGAUUUUAUGGCAGUGUAGAAGGGGCCCUACACUGCCAUAUAAAAUCCUGAUUAUCUGCUUUGAACUGGAUUAUAUGGCAGUGUAGACUCAGAUAAUCCAGUUCAAUGUACAUAAUGUGGAUUAUCUGUUUUGACAAUCUGGAUUCUAUGGCAGUGUAGAAGCGGUCCUGCACUGUCAUAUAGAAUCAAGAUUAUCUGCUUUGAACUGGAUUAUAUGGCAGUGUAGACUCAGAUAAUCCAGUUCAACGCAGAUAAUGUGGAUGAUCUGCUUUGAAAAUCUGGGUUAUAUGGCAGUGUAGAAGGAACCCUGCACUGCCAUAUAAAAUCCAGAUGAUCUGCUUUGAACUGUUAGAUUUGAGAUAGCUUCCCAAAGUUGUAGAAUAUCCACAUUAUCUGAUUUGAACUGGAUUAUCCUAGGGCCCUUCCAGACCCUUAUAUUCCAAGAUCUGAUCCCAAGUUUCUUGCUUUAAACUGGAUUAUAUGAGUCCACACUGACAGAUAAUUUGGUUUAAACAGAAAACCCGGGAUCAGAUCCUGGGAUAUAGGACCUGUCUGGAAGGGCCCUUUGUCUACUGUCAUAUAAUCCAGCUCAAAGCCGAUAGUCUGGAUUCUAUACAGCUGUGUAGACUGAGCCUUACAAAUCAUAUCUUUCUAAAAAUAGCCAAGGUCCAUAAUACCAGAGAAGAACAAAAUAUUUGGGCACCAAGCACAGAAAAUCUUAUACCUCCCUCUUCUGGCAGUAACAACUUGCUAAUAGUUAAAUAGCUAACCACUUCCUGUCCUUUCUCUCAAUCCAAAAUCUGCUGGAGGCGUAAUGGCAGGUUUGGCCUUGGUCCUUCCCCAUAAAGGGGUAUUGUCAGGACAGUGGUUGCUCUUAUUUCCUCUCUGUAAGACCUGGCAUUGAAGUGUAUAAUAAGAUACCAAGAAGGAGAAAAGGUGACAUUUUCACAAUCCAAGGGGAGAGUUUACAAGAAAAAAGGGCCCUUUCCCAAGGCUUCCCCAAGACUCAGCACCAUCCACUGGACCAUAAUAACAGAGGCAAGCAGGAGCUGAGAGGGAUAGAGAUCUGGAUUAGUUUCACAGGCAAGGAGGAACAACUUAGAAGGUGGGGAACAUCCUCACUCGUUUUUGUAUCUGCUUCAUAAUAUGCAAGGACAAGGACAUAGGAUGAGGGUUGAGUAUAAAGCCCUAAAUGGUUUGGGACCAGCUUAUCUAUCCAAACAUAUCUUCUGGGGAGGUCCUAUUUUUGGUCCCACCUUCCUCACAGAUGCGUUUGGUGGGGAUGAGAAACAGGGCCUUCUCAGUGGUGGCCCCUCAACUGUGAAACACCCUUCCCAGGGAUAUAAGAUCGCCCCCUUCCCUCCUGACUUUUUGAAGAAAGGUUAAAACCUGGCUUUUGGAGCAGGCUUUUGCUAAUCCAGCGCAAUUAUACGAAAUUAUGGAAUGACCUGAUGAUGCAAUUGAAUAACGAGGAGAUGCUCACGAUAAUGUUAUUAUGAUUUUGUACAGUUUUUAUAUUUUUAUACUAGCCGUCCCUUGCCACGCGUUGUUGUGGACCAGUCGUGAUCUGGAAAAUAAAGUAAUGAGAAAGUGUUGGUUUCUAA